GCGGCGGGCGGCGACAGACCCGCCGUGCGCUCAGCGAGCAGCCGCCCAGCGCCCGGCGCCCAGCCCGGUGCCGCGGCUCGGCGCGGCCCCCCAGCCAGCGCCCCCACCCGGAGCCGAUUACCUGCAAUGAUGAAAUGAAGUAACUCAAGAUGAGCAAGUUAAAAGUGGUAUCAGAGAAAAGCCUUACCAAUAAUUCUCGGAUUGUGGGACACUGAAUCAGCAGAAUCAGAUACUGCCAUCUGUCACAUCAAAGAUUCCUCAUCUUGCUGAAAGUCAAGGUGUUAACACAUGACUGUGGGAAGCCAAAAACUGUUCACACUGUAACAAGGAUUCUGUUUUUAUGAGGUUAUUCGUUCAAUUAUUAAGUAAAAAAUACCCUUCAAAUGCCUCAUCUGUACCUAUCAACUUAAAAAAGGAACCACUGGAAUUAGCCAGCUCUCAUCACAAAGGAAACUGAUAUAAUACUCAGGAAUGCCAAGGAGUUUGGAGACAAGAAGGAAGACAGGCAGACUUAGACAGUGAAAGAGAGAUACAGAGAGAAAUGUCUUCCUUCUGUUGGUUCACCCCCCAAAUGGCCACUACAACCGGCGCGCUGUGCCGGUCCAAAGCCACGAGACAUGUGCUUCCUACAGGUCUCCCAUGCGGGUGCAGGGCCCAGCACUUGGGCCAUCCUCACUGCCUUCCCGGGCCACAGCAGAGACUGACUGAAAAAGCAGCAAGUGGGACAGAAUCUGACGCCUCAACUGGGACUAGAACCUGGAGUACCAGCACCACAGGUGAAGGAUUAGCCUAGUGAGCCGUGGUGUGACCUUAAACUUAAUGAUUUCAUACUGUUCUCCCUCCUCCUCCUUUCAUAAUGUUCUAAGUAUUAAAUGGAAAACUAUACAGAAAUCACAAAUUUGUUCCACAACACUAAACUAUGGCCACAGUACUUAAUUUCUCUAUAUGAAAUCUGGCUCAAAGCCUCAAUUUUAACAGGUGGGAAAAUAUCCAAUAUGAGUGACUCUUGGGACCUUUUGUAUACUUAGCUUAGUAUCCAAUGUCAAAAAAGAUACUAUGGUUGGCCAAUGCAGUGUUUUGUUGCAGCUCCCAAGACAAUGGAGCCUGAACAUUAGUCAUCUCAGCAAAUAUCAUUUCAUUCCUUAGGAACCGCUACUGCCUCCUGGAUGACUUCCACACCAGACCCAUCCACUUAGAACCUGUCUUUACAAUGUACUGUUAGGCAGCUCUCCAACUUUCAACCCCUUACCUCUUCUUCUUCAACCUCAUCUUCUCUUCCUAGGAACACCUAGAUGAAUGCCACUCCUACAUGAGAAUUUGGAUAGCACUGUACAAAAGAUGUGUUGAAGCUGGUUUUGGUCGGAAACAUGAAAACUGUUAAUAGCUCCUGAGACCAAGAACCCAGAACUCCUCAGAAGACAAGUGUGAAAAGUUACAUUCUUUCCUUUUGGAGUUCCUUCAGGCAGGAAAGUGUAAUCAAUAGCUCAGUGAAUUAUCCUGCGACAAUUGAAGAGUACCUAAAGCUGAGAAAGUUGGAUAAGCAAGAUCAAUUUCCCUGUCAUUGUUGUCAACAAAACCUCCCACCCACUAUGAAGCUUCCAUCACAAUCAAGAGGGGAUACUUGCUGCCACCUCCUUUAGGACACUACACUUAAUAGAAGGCCCAUGAGUGACAAACUUUCUUACUGCCUCAUCUGGUAUUUCUCUGAAUGGAAGAAUAUGAUGACUGACUGGUAAUUACAGUAUAUGCAAAAGUGAAAUGAAUGAAAGCAAUGUGAUAAAGAAUAGGAGGGAGGAAUUGGGAAGAUUUUAUCAUAAGAUAUCUAAACUACCUGUAAAAUUUUAGUUAUUCAAAAAUGGACUUAGAUGACUUGUGAGUGCAUAUUACAAUCUCUAAUGCAGGCACUGAAUUAUUUUGGAAGAAAUGUUAUUCGUAAGCUGGGAAAGGAGAAAAGAUUGAAUCAGAUGGAAUUUUUAUUUAAAAUACUAUGAGAUCAAAAAAGAGGAAGAGAGUAGCACAAAACAGAAAACAAUGAACAAAUGGCAAUAGAAAAUUCAUAUGUAUUGAUAAUUAUUUUAAAUGUAAGCGGAUUAAGUUUUUCCAUAAGAAUAGAGUGGCUGAAUGAAUAAAAUAGUAAUAUCCAACUUAAUGAAUGUAAGAGACUCACUGUAGCUUUAAGGGCACACCUAGGCUGAAAGUGAAAAGUUGUAAAAAAAAUAUUCCAUGAAACCAGUAACCAAAGGAGAACACAUGUAGUUAUAUCAGACAAAAUAAGCUUUACUGCUGGUGCCGUGGCUCAAUAGGCUAAUCCUCCACCUGCAGUGUCAGCACACCCGGUUCUAGUCCCACUCAGGGUACUGGUUCUAUUCCAGUUGCCCCUCUUCCAGUCCAGCUCUCUACUGUAGCCCGGGAAUGUAGUGGAGGAUGGCCCAAGUGCUUGGGCCCUGCACCCACAUGGGAGACCAGGAGAAGCACCUGGCUCCUGGCUUCAGAUCGGCACAGUAACCUGGCCACAGCGCACCUGCUGCAGCGGCCAUUGGAUGGUGAACCAACGGUAAAGGAAGACCUUUCUCCCUGUCUCUCUCUCUCACUGUCCACUUUGCCUGUCAAAAAAAAAUAGACUUUACUCAAAGGAAAUGAAUUAAGCACCUCAUAAAGAUACCUGCAUCUCUAUGUUUAUUGCAACAUUAUUCACAAUAGCCAAGAUUUAUAUGCAACCUAAGAAUCCAAUAACUAAAAGAUGGAUAAAGAAAUUCUGAGAGUGGAGAUAA